GGAAGGAUCAUUUAAAUAUCAAUUUUUAAUUGAUAAACCGUUGAACCCCUUUGUGAAAAUUUAUUUUUACAAAAACCAAUAACCUUCACUAUUUAUAAUCCUUAAAAAUUCACAACUAUUAGCAGUGGAUACCUCGGUUAUCAUCACGAUGAAGAACGCAGCAAAGCGCGAUAGUAAUUGCGAAUUGCAGAAUUCAGUGAAUCAUCGUAACUUUGAACGCAUGUUGCGCUCUUGGGAAUCCCUAAGAGCAUGCCUCUUUCAGUGUCAUUUGUUUAAAUGCAAUUUAUUGCGAUUAGUUUAUGACCCUGUGUCAUGUUGACUUAAAUUCUAAAAGUGGUAGAUUUCUCCUAAAAGAAUUCGCGUCGGUUUGGUGUAAAUCUUUCCAAUCGCUUAUUUUAGCAGGCUAUAUCUGUGACUUCCAUUCCUAUUUGGGAAUGAUACUUUCUAAUACGACCUGAAAUGAGGUAAGAUUACCCGCUGAGUUUAAGCAUAUUCGUAAGCGGAGGAAAAGAAAUUAACUAAGAUUCUCCUAGUAACUGCGAGUGAACAGAGACGAGCUCAACCUUUAAUCUUUGUUGGAUUCCUUCAAAGAGUUGUAGGGUACGGAGACACGCUCAGAGUAAUCCUGAAUCUAAGUUUGCUGGAAAGCAGCUGUCAUAGAGGGUGAUAAUCCCGUCUAUGGUUCGGAGUAUUGUUCGUACGAGCUGUUUUCUAAGAGUCGGGUUGCUUGGGAAUGCAGUCUUAAAUGGGUGGUAAAUUCCAUCUAAAGCUAAAUAUCGAUGAUAAACCGAUAGCGCACAAGUACCGUAAGGGAAAGGUGAAAAGGACUUUGAAAAGAGAGUCAAAAGUACUUGAAACUGCUAAUAGGUAACGGAUAGAAACCUUUGCUCUAGGUCGUUGCAUUUGUCGGUCUGCAGUGGAGACAUUGUGUUGGCAUGUCCCUUAACCGGGAUAGCUGGUACUAAGUUGAAUCUGUGGAUUGGUGUAUGUGGCGCGGGAAUGUCAUGCUGGGUUCGGUUUGAGACAUAAAGUUGGUGUGGCGGUAGGUGUGUGAGCAAUGUACUUUGUGAUCCCCGAAUACGCACCUUGUUUUCUCUCGAGCUGGACCAAGGCCUCGAAUAUGACAAGAGGGUUUCUAUUCACCCGUCUUGAAACACGGACCAAGGAGUCGGACGUAUAUGCAAGUAUUAGGGUGCAAAACCCGAAUGCGGAAUGAAAGUGAAGCGGCACCUAGUGUGUUGUUAGGUAUCAAGCCUUUUUGGGCAGCAGUACCGCCCGGCUCUUCCCUAGUGUUGAGUACGAGGUCGAGCAUAUACGUUCGGACCCGAAAGAUGGUGAACUAUGCCUGAGCAGGGUGAAGCCAGGGGAAACUCUGGUGGAAGCUCGUAGCGAUACUGACGUGCAAAUCGUUCGUCAGACUUGGGUAUAGGGGCGAAAGACCAAUCGAACCAUCUAGUAGCUGGUUUCCUC
rnacentral:misc_RNA from 1 species